GUGGGGAAUUUUCCGCAAUGGGGGCAACCCUGACGGAGCAACGCCGCGUGGAGGAUGAAGGCCUUCGGGUCGUAAACUCCUGUCGACUGGGACGAAAGCAUUCCGACCUAACACGUUGGUUUGUUGACUGUACCGGUGGAGGAAGCCACGGCUAACUCUGUGCCAGCAGCCGCGGUAAUACAGAGGUGGCAAGCGUUGUUCGGAAUUACUGGGCGUAAAGGGCGCGUAGGCGGCCUGCUAAGUCCCGCGUGAAAGCCCCCGGCUCAACCGGGGAACGGCGCGGGAUACUGGUGAGCUUGAGUUCGGGAGAGGGAAGCGGAAUUCCGGGUGUAGCGGUGAAAUGCGUAGAUAUCCGGAGGAACACCGGUGGCGAAGGCGGCUUCCUGGACCGACACUGACGCUGAGGCGCGAAAGCUAGGGGAGCAAACGGGAUUAGAAACCCCAGUAGUCC
rnacentral:rRNA from 1 species